GUUGUAUGGUUAAGUGACUAAGCGUACACGGUGGAUGCCUAGGCAGUCAGAGGCGAUGAAGGACGUAGUAACUUGCGAAAAGCGUAGAUAAGGCAGUAACAGCCACUUGAGUCUACGAUAUCCGAAUGGGGAAACCCAAGUGCAGCAGCACUUAUCAUUAACUGAAUUCAUAGGUUAAUGAGGCAAACCGGGGGAACUGAAACAUCUAAGUACCCCGAGGAGAAGAAAUCAACCGAGAUUCCGAAAGUAGCGGCGAGCGAAAUUGGAUUAGCCCUUAAGCUUUAUAUGCGUCAGGCGAAGGCUCUGGAAAGGGCCGCGGAACAGGGUGAUAGCCCCGUAGCCGUUAGCGCAUGUUCAGUGAAAUCGAGUAGGGCGGGACACGUGAUAUCCUGUCUGAAUAUGGGGGGACCAUCCUCCAAGGCUAAAUACUCCUGAUUGACCGAUAGUGAACCAGUACCGUGAGGGAAAGGCGAAAAGAACCCCUGUGAGGGGAGUGAAAUAGAACCUGAAACCGUGUACGUACAAGCAGUAGGAGCCNNNNNAUGGGGUGACUGCGUACCUUUUGUAUAAUGGGUCAGCGACUUAUAUUCAGUGGCAAGGUUAACCACAUAGGGGAGCCGUAGCGAAAGCGAGUCUUAACUGGGCGUUCAGUCUCUGGAUAUAGACCCGAAACCGGGUGAUCUAGCCAUGGGCAGGUUGAAGGUUGAGUAACAUCAACUGGAGGACCGAACCGACUAAUGUUGAAAAAUUAGCGGAUGACUUGUGGCUAGGGGUGAAAGGCCAAUCAAACUCGGAGAUAGCUGGUUCUCCCCGAAAGCUAUUUAGGUAGCGCCUCGGACGAAUACUACUGGGGGUAGAGCACUGUUAAGGCUAGGGGGUCAUCCCGACUUACCAACCCUUUGCAAACUCCGAAUACCAGUAAGUACUAUCCGGGAGACACACGGCGGGUGCUAACGUCCGUCGUGAAGAGGGAAACAACCCAGACCGCCAGCUAAGGUCCCAAAGUAUUGCUAAGUGGGAAACGAUGUGGGAAGGCUUAGACAGCUAGGAUGUUGGCUUAGAAGCAGCCAUCAUUUAAAGAAAGCGUAAUAGCUCACUAGUCGAGUCGGCCUGCGCGGAAGAUGUAACGGGGCUAAGCAAUACACCGAAGCUGCGGCAAUGCGCCUUUUCUUUUAUUAGGGAAGGUCGUAUUGGGUAGGGGAGCGUUCUGUAAGCCGUUGAAGGUGAACUGUAAGGUUUGCUGGAGGUAUCAGAAGUGCGAAUGCUGACAUGAGUAACGACAAGGGGGGUGAAAAACCUCCCCGCCGGAAGACCAAGGGUUCCUGUCCAACGUUAAUCGGGGCAGGGUAAGUCGACCCCUAAGGCGAGGCUGAAGAGCGUAGUCGAUGGGAAACGGGUUAAUAUUCCCGUACUUGUUAUGAAUGCGAUGGGGGGACGGAGAAGGCUAGGUGGGCCAGGCGACGGUUGUCCUGGUUCAAGUGAGUAGGCUUGAGAGUUAGGUAAAUCCGGCUCUCUUUAAGGCUGAGACACGACGUCGAGCUGCUACGGCAGUGAAGUCAUUGAUGCCCUGCUUCCAGGAAAAGCCUCUAAGCUUCAGUUCAUAAGAAAUCGUACCCCAAACCGACACAGGUGGUCGGGUAGAGAAUACCAAGGCGCUUGAGAGAACUCGGGUGAAGGAACUAGGCAAAAUGGUACCGUAACUUCGGGAGAAGGUACGCUCUUGACGGUGAAGUCCCUUGCGGAUGGAGCUAUUGAGAGUCGCAGAUACCAGGUGGCUGCAACUGUUUAUUAAAAACACAGCACUGUGCAAAAUCGUAAGAUGACGUAUACGGUGUGACGCCUGCCCGGUGCCGGAAGGUUAAUUGAUGGGGUUAGACGCAAGUCGAAGCUCUUGAUCGAAGCCCCGGUAAACGGCGGCCGUAACUAUAACGGUCCUAAGGUAGCGAAAUUCCUUGUCGGGUAAGUUCCGACCUGCACGAAUGGCGUAAUGAUGGCCACGCUGUCUCCACCCGAGACUCAGUGAAAUUGAAAUCGCUGUGAAGAUGCAGUGUACCCGCGGCUAGACGGAAAGACCCCGUGAACCUUUACUACAGCUUGGCACUGAACAUUGACCCUACAUGUGUAGGAUAGGUGGGAGACUUUGAAGCGCAGUCGCUAGAUUGCGUGGAGUCGACCUUGAAAUACCACCCUUGUAGUGUUGAUGUUCUAACUUAGACCCGUUAUCCGGGUUGAGGACAGUGCCUGGUGGGUAGUUUGACUGGGGCGGUCUCCUCCCAAAGAGUAACGGAGGAGCACGAAGGUGGGCUAAUCACGGUUGGACAUCGUGAGGUUAGUGCAAUGGCAUAAGCCCGCUUAACUGCGAGAAUGACGGUUCGAGCAGGUGCGAAAGCAGGUCAUAGUGAUCCGGUGGUUCUGAAUGGAAGGGCCAUCGCUCAACGGAUAAAAGGUACUCCGGGGAUAACAGGCUGAUACCGCCCAAGAGUUCAUAUCGACGGCGGUGUUUGGCACCUCGAUGUCGGCUCAUCACAUCCUGGGGCUGAAGUCGGUCCCAAGGGUAUGGCUGUUCGCCAUUUAAAGUGGUACGCGAGCUGGGUUUAGAACGUCGUGAGACAGUUCGGUCCCUAUCUGCCGUGGGCGUUGGAGAAUUGAAGGGGGCUGCUCCUAGUACGAGAGGACCGGAGUGGACGAACCUCUGGUGUUCGGGUUGUCACGCCAGUGGCAUUGCCCGGUAGCUAAGUUCGGAAUUGAUAAGCGCUGAAAGCAUCUAAGCGCGAAGCGAGCCCUGAGAUGAGUUCUCCCUGGCAGUUUAACUGUCCUAAAGGGUUGUUCGAGACUAGAACGUUGAUAGGCAGGGUGUGUAAGCGUUGUGAGGCGUUGAGCUAACCUGUACUAAUAGCCCGUGAGGCUUAACCAUACAACACCGAAGGGGUUUUG
rnacentral:rRNA from 1 species